UAUUCGAUCGCGUCUUAGCUCGUUCUCUGCUAUAUAAGUUCGCCGAAUUAGCUUGCGUUUAAUAGCAGACUACACAAAGAAGUUGUUUGAGAUGUCUGCUUUAGGCACCGCCCGAUAUACUCUUCUGGCCAUGAUCAUUCUGCAGGGAAUGUUUAUAUGCUUGGGCAAACCAAAUGCGUUUUUCAGCCCACUUGAAAGAAGCGAUAACACAGGAUCUUCAGCUAAGUGCGGGCAACAGUGCACGCGGGAACCAAACGGAAAAUGUCCUGAAGGCUGUUUCUGUGCAUUUGUUGGAAACAAUACUACUGGCAAAUGCUACUCCUACGACGAGUUUCAGUGAUACCGCUGUAAUAUUACAACAGCGGGAGUAUCAGCGGAGUGCGUUAUGCCAGAAUAAAUGCCACGCCCUUCUGUUUUAUUGUCGCA